GAUACCAAAUGACAGUGUGACCCAGCCCAGCCUUUCUUUUCCACAAAACAUUAGCGUUUCACUAAGCGCACGCUGCUGUGCUCUUUCAUCAGACACACUGCUCUGGUGUGUAUCAUAUGAUAUGGCAGCCACUCAGGCAGGCGGGGAGCAGCGCAGCCUGUAAUUUCCUGGUCAUAUGUAACUGGGUGGGGAAGCGCCUGAUCCUUGGGAACGCAAUGUACUCAUGGCCAGAUGGAUUAUCAGCUAUUCUCACUGACCUCUGAGAUAUUAUCACCUGGACACUGUUAAGACUGGCCUCCAUAACAGGUGCAAAAUCUAUGGAUCCUUGGAUCCUCCACUUUCUCAUUUUCUUGGCCACCUCGGGGAAGUCCUGCCUGUCAUCCAAGCUUGAGCCCUCUGCUCCAGAGCACGCUCAGCACUCUGGUCCCAUGUGAAGACACCAGGGGCUGACAGAAGUUCUUUAGCAGCAGCACCCCAGUGAAUCACUACUAUGGAAACAGCCAGGAGUUCUGUGUAUGACGUUUGGAGAGCUUCCAAAGAGGUAGCUCUAACUAUAUUCAGCCUAGGCCAUGCACAUAUCUGUAAGGUUUCCACUAUCUUCUGCCCAAGGUGCCAUGUGCGUGAAAUUGUUCAGACUCCUGUUUUGAUGAGAGAAGGCCUAACCAGUUGCAAACUAAUAAUAGCCAAAAUUUAGCUGUCAUCAUUAAAAAAAUAUAUACACAUAAAAAAAUUAACUGCUAGUAAAAGAAUGUAAAAAAUGGAUCGUGUCAGUAAAAUAUUUUGGCAUUUCAUUGGUAUAAAUACCCAGACUCCCUAAGCACUUUCAAUGCAUAAUCCAGAUUUACUGCCUUUUCAUGAUGGCUGAAGUGGUACAUUCUUUAAAGCUUGCAAUGACUGACCAUAAGCAUGAAUUGUACAAAUUCAGAGUUACAACUUUAUGGUCUGCGUGAACACUUUUCACCAUAUGCUUUAGAGAUUUACUGAGGUCCUCAAUGUUUGAAAUGUUUUUGUGAAGAAAAUUAAAAUGUCAGUUAAAAAUAU